GGUCAUAGCUCAUUGGUAGAGCACUUGCCUCACAUGCAUGAGGCACUGGGUUCGAACCUCAGCACCA
rnacentral:tRNA from 1 species